CAACUUUCAGCAACGGAUCUCUUGGCUCUCGCAUCGAUG
rnacentral:rRNA from 1 species